rnacentral:rRNA from 1 species
GAUGAACGCUGGCGGCGUGCCUAAUACAUGCAAGUCGAGCGAACAGACGAGGAGCUUGCUCCUUUGACGUUAGCGGCGGACGGGUGAGUAACACGUGGGUAACCUACCUAUAAGACUGGGAUAACUUCGGGAAACCGGAGCUAAUACCGGAUAAUAUUUCGAACCGCAUGGUUCGAUAGUGAAAGAUGGCUUUGCUAUCACUUAUAGAUGGACCUGCGCCGUAUUAGCUAGUUGGUAAGGUAACGGCUUACCAAGGCAACGAUACGUAGCCGACCUGAGAGGGUGUCCGGCCACACUGGAACUGAGACACGGUCCAGACUCCUAGGGGAGGCAGAAGUAGGGAAUCUUCCGAAAUGGGCGAAAGCCUGCCGGAGCAACGCCGCGUGAGUGAUGAAGGUCUUCGGAUCGUAAAACUCUGUUAUUAGGAAAGAACAAACGUGUAAGUACCAGUGAACGUUUUGACGGUACCUAACCAGAAAGCAACGGCUAACUCCGU